GAGGUAGCUACUGGAGAGUUCUUUCAGCUCUGCCACAUUCUUCUGGAUCUUGGCCUUGGACUCACUGCCUUAGCAUUCUAUUUGGUUGGCGAGCAGAUCUACAACAAAACCCUUGGUCCUUCCUCCUUCUCUUCUUCUGGGUCUACUUUUAUUUUGUUUUUAUCAGCUGUUGGGGAACAAUUAGAUGGGGGUUUGGGAUUUUGGCAUUGGGGGGAUGGGUCAAGGAGAUAGGGCGAGUUAACCAGGUGCGAAGGAGUGGAUGCUUUGAGAUGCAAAGUUUCUUUGUUCAUUGUAUUAUAAGCACCUCAAAACUGAAUAGACCACAACUGGAUGGUUAGACAACCGUGGAAGUCAAUAACAUCACAGAUAUUAAUAGCAUCAUAAAACAUCAUUUCAAGACCCACCCUUCAGGUAUUGCAAUAUUGGAAGAAGAAAAAGUCCAAAACUCAGGAGGUUAAGAAGGAACUCACAGACAAGGACGUUCAGGAGGGUUUUGACAUUACUCUUACAAAACAUAAGGGGCAGUAAGUUGUACCAUGAAAGUCCAAGGCUUAUAUGCGUACUAUAUACAGCUCCAACAUAUGGUCCAUGUAGGACUUUGAAGCCAAUUCUUAGUAAGGUAUGCAAAUAAAAAAAUGUUUCACUUUUGCAUGACGUUCAAUCUCAAUGCCACUAUCAACUCUUACAAUGAUUGAUGUCUAAUGUGAUUUGGAGGUGGCCAGAAAUAUUUGGGAUGACAUGAUGAAAAACCAAUUUUAUGUGGUAACAUCUCAUUGUGUGAAGAAACACAUGCUUUACUGUAUCUGUCUAUUUUAGUGUUGAUGCCUCAUAUAGAAUGCAGUAACCUCUUUUUAAUAACUUUCUUUUAUGGUAGGUGAUUGACGAGUUUGAUCAAAAUGUACACUUUGUUGAAAUUGAUAUUGAGGAAAAUCCAGAAAUAGCAUAAGCAGCUGGUAUUAUGGGUACACCAUGUGUUCAAUUUUUCAAAACAAGGAAAAUUUGAGGUUGUUUUUCUUCUAUACUCCUGGUGCUGGUCCAACUGUCAAAUCUGGUUCAAAGGGAAAGCGCCAUUGUUUGAUACUGAAUAAAACCGACCUUAAAUUGGUGCAUACUACAGAGCAUGUUUGCUAGGUAUGUUAAACUUGACCAUGCAUUUCUAGUCAUGGAUUUAUGUUCAUAUUUAAGAUACA